GGUAUAGCCUUUAGAAAUGAAGAUUAAUCCCCCAUAGUCUCUUAGAGUGGCAUCACUUCUAGAGUAAAGGUUACGGUAUAAGAUGAGUAUGCGUUCUAUUAGUUUGUUGUUGUGGUAACGGCACACCAAGACUACGAUAGAUAGGGGCCCUGAGAGGGGGAUCCCCCACACUGGUACUGAGACACGGACCAGACUCCUACGGGAGGCAGCAGUGAGGAAUAUUGGACAAUGGAGGAAACUCUGAUCCAGCGAUGCCGCGUGAAGGAAGACGGCCCUAUGGGUUGUAAACUUCUUUUAUACAGGAAGAAACCUUUCCACGUGUGGAAAGCUGACGGUACUGUAAGAAUAAGGAUCGGC
rnacentral:rRNA from 1 species